rnacentral:rRNA from 1 species
CCUACGGGAGGCAGCAGUGGGGAAUAUUGGACAAUGGGCGAAAGCCUGAUCCAGCAAUGCCGCGUGAGUGAUGAAGGCCUUCGGGUCGUAAAGCCCUUUUACCAGGGAUGAUAAUGACAGUACCUGGAGAAUAAGCUCCGGCUAACUCCGUGCCAGCAGCCGCGGUAAUACGGAGGGAGCUAGCGUUGUUCGGAAUUACUGGGCGUAAAGAGUACGUAGGCGGUUAUUCAAGUCAGAGGUGAAAGCCCGGGGCUCAACCCCGGAACUGCCUUUGAAACUAGAUAACUAGAGUCUUGGAGAGGUUAGUGGAAUUCCGAGUGUAGAGGUGAAAUUCGUAGAUAUUCGGAAGAACACCAGUGGCGAAGGCGACUAACUGGACAAGUACUGACGCUGAGGUACGAAAGCGUGGGGAGCAAACAGGAUUAGAUACCCUGGUAGUCCACGCCGUAAACGAUGAUAACUAGUUGUUCGGUCACUUGGUGACUGAGUGACGCAGCUAACGCAUUAAGUUAUCCGCCUGGGGAGUACGGUCGCAAGAUUAAAACUUAAAGGAAUUGACGG